UACAGAGGUCUCGAGCGUUAAUCGGAAUUACUGGGCUUAAAGGGUGCGUAGGCGGUCCCGUAAGUGCCUUGUGAAAUCCCAUGGCUCAACCAUGGAAUUGCUCGGUAGACUGCGGGACUUGAGGUCGGUAGAGGUCGCUGGAACUCUAGGUGGAGCGGUGAAAUGCGUAGAUAUCUAGAGGAACGCCAAAGGUGUAGACAGGCGACUGGGCCGAUUCUGACGCUGAGGCACGAAAGCGUGGGUAGCGAACGGGAUUAGAUACCCCGGUAGUCCACGCCCUAAACGAUGUGCACUAGAUCGUGGAGGCUCUGACGCUCCCAUGGUCGAAGUUAAAAUGCUAAGUGCACCGCCUGGGGAGUACGGUCGCAAGGCUAAA
rnacentral:rRNA from 1 species